GGCUUGAAUUAUAUAUAUAUAUAUAUAUAUAUACAUAUAUAUAUGUAUAUAUAUAUAUGCAUUAUCUUCUUUGAUCUUCACAAAGAUCUCCUGAUAUAGGUGCUGUUGGAUUUAUUUCCAUUUUUACAGGUAAAGAAACUGAGACUCAAAGAAUUUAAGGAACCUAUCCAGUGUUAUACAGAAAAAUAUGUUUGAAUCUGACAGGCAACAACAAAAUAUGAACAUUUCCAUAACUGAAGAACAGAGGAUCACCUCCCAUCCCUGGAGCAUCUUCCCUUCACAUCUGUUGAAAUCCUUCAUUAAGGAGCUGCAUCCUCCAUUAAACUUUCCCUCAUCCUUCCUCUCCCCUCCCCCAUGUUCCUCAAAUUUUCUUGAAGUACUUGGUCUGUUUCUCUCUUUUGAUUCAUUGAUAUCAUACUUAUUUUAUGUUUCACUUUGUUCUGGUCAAAAUAUAAGCUCUUUGAGAGUGGGAAGUACUGGAUCCCUUUUAUCCCCCUCUUUGUAUCUAGUAUAGUGUGACAAGGAAAUCACUUUGAAAGACUGAUAUAUAUUAAUUUAAGGUCGCCAAGGAAUUCAGCUAUGUGAUUCCUAAAUGAAAACUCAAGUCAGCAGUCAACCUUUUAUGGAGUUUAAUUACAAACAGGAGGAAGAAAGGUAUUAGAGAUAGAGAGAGAGAGGGAGAGAGAAAGGGGAGAGAAGGGAAUAGGGCUUAAAUACCCCUUCUGUUUAGGCUGGGCCAAAAGGUCCAAGCCCUUAGAUAGCUGAGGCAAAGAAAAGAGAUCAGUCCCUAUCACUCACGUGACCAAAAUGGAGAAACAGUCUCAGGGGCCUUCACCUCCAGCUUCCUUCAGAGCAAGCUUCUCAGAGCACAACCUCUCAGAGCAAAACCUCUCCAACCACCUCUCGUCCUCAGACCUCGCUAUCUUUAAGGAAACCAUCCAAGUUCCCUCCCCUCAGUUUUCACAUCUACCAAUCACUGUCCAUGUGUUCCCUGUGCCAAUGGUGGCUCUACCUUAACCCAGGACCACCCAGAGGUCUGUGGCUUUGCACAUGACUAUUGAAGGUCAUAUUCUCAAAUAAUUAAAUCUUGAUCCUUUGCUGCAGCCCUUCCUAAAUCCUGUUAGGACUGAGUAGGGUGGAGAUUGUAAUUUCCAAGACCUGGUUCUGUCAUUCCAAGUAUCUCUAUUGUAUCAAUUCUAAAAUCAAUCAUGACUCAAAGAACUUCCUGUUCUAUGCUUAAGCAUAGGUCAAAGCCCUUUCCAUUGUUCAGCAAAAGGUUUCUGUCCUAAAGUAAUCUUAAGAAGGGAGGAGGAGGAACCUCCCAUGCCAAUGGGGUUCACAUUCCAAUAGACUAUCAGUAAGAAAUUUUCCAAGUAUGAAAUUUCCCAAUGGUGAAAUUUCCAACAUUUAUAAGUCUAAGAAAUUUUAAGGUUUACAAUAGUUUCCCACAUAGUAGGAACUAGAUUCAAAUAAGUAGUACAGAAGAUAGUGCACUGGACCUGAAGUCAAGAAGACCAACAGAUUCUUACUAGUUCUGUAACUCAAGUAAGUUGCUUAGCAUCAGAUUCCACCCCUGUAAAACAAGGAUAAGUCACUUAGCCUCAAAUUGCUCAUGUGUAAAAUAAGGAUGUCAUUUAACCUCAGUUUCCUCAUCAAUAAAACAAGGAUAAUAAGUGGGAAUUAAACGAGA
rnacentral:lncRNA from 1 species